GAUGAACGCUAGCGGCAGGCUUAAUACAUGCAAGUCGAGGGGCAGCAUGAAUGUAGCAAUACAUUUGAUGGCGACCGGCAAACGGGUGCGGAACACGUACACAACCUUCCUAUAAGUGGGGAAUAGCCCAGAGAAAUUUGGAUUAAUACCCCGUAACAUAAUGAUGUGGCAUCACAUUAUUAUUAUAGCUUCGGCGCUUAUUGAUGGGUGUGCGGCUGAUUAGAUAGUUGGCGGGGUAACGGCCCACCAAGUCUACGAUCAGUAGCUGAUGUGAGAGCCAGAUCAGCCACACGGGAACUGGGACACGGGCCCGACUCCUACGGGAGGCAGCAGUAAGGAAUAUUGGUCAAUGGACGCAAGUCUGAACCAGCCAUGCCGCGUGAAGGAUUAAGGUCCUCUGGAUUGUAAACUUCUUUUAUCUGGGACGAAAAAAGGCUAUUCUUAGUCACUUGACGGUACCAGAUGAAUAAGCACCGGCUAACUCCGUGCCAGCCGCCGCCGUAAUAC
rnacentral:rRNA from 1 species